GACGAACGCUGGCGGCGUGCUUAACACAUGCAAGUCGAACGGAAAGGCCCUGCUUUUGUGGGGUGCUCGAGUGGCGAACGGGUGAGUAACACGUGAGUAACCUGCCCUUGACUUUGGGAUAACUUCAGGAAACUGGGGCUAAUACCGGAUAGGAGCUCCUGCUGCAUGGUGGGGGUUGGAAAGUUUCGGCGGUUGGGGAUGGACUCGCGGCUUAUCAGCUUGUUGGCGGGGUAGUGGCUUACCAAGGCUUUGACGGGUAGCCGGCCUGAGAGGGUGACCGGCCACAUUGGGACUGAGAUACGGUCCAGACUCCUACGGGAGGCAGCAGUGGGGAAUAUUGCACAAUGGGCGGAAGCCUGAUGCAGCAACGCCGCGUGCGGGAUGACGGCCUUCGGGUUGUAAACCGCUUUCGCCUGUGACGAAGCGUGAGUGACGGUAAUGGGUAAAGAAGCACCGGCUAACUACGUG
rnacentral:rRNA from 1 species